AUUUUCAGCUGUUCAGUAACACUCUUACAUUUUCUGGAAUUGUCAAUUGAAUGGGAGAAUACGUAAGUAAGAUAGAGAAAAACUAUCGACAUUCUAAACAUAUUGUAAUGUUAACUUGCUAGAAUAGGAGAGACGAAUACCCAAUUUUUCAAGAAGAAGAAAACGAAAAGCGCACUUUCAAGAAUGAUAAAAACAAAGAUUGUGCAAUGACGAGUUCAAAUUUUGUUCGUUGUUCGUUGUAUUGCAGGCAUACAAGAUCAUGAAUAUCAUCAAAAGUUAACAUCAAUAUAAGUGAAUAUUAAUAAAAGAUAUCAAUAUAAGUGAAUAUUUUAUAGUGAACCUACAUAUUCAUUUAAUUGAAUUUUCAUUGUAUUAUUUAAUUUUGUCUCUUUUCUGUGUUUGUUUCAACCAUAUACAUUUAUGUAAAUAAAAAGAUUGAAUAUUUUGCAACCAAGUAUCAAUACACUAAAUGUGUAUUUGUCUUAUUUAAUUUUCUUUUUUUACUAUACAUACAUACAUACAACGUAACAACAUUUUCAGAAAUUUACAGUGGCAUGAAUGAAACACGGAAUAAAAUGGAACAUGAGUGAAACAAAAUAUUAAUAUUGGUUAAAACUGGUGACGAUAUGUUCAAUUAAGUUUUUAUUUAAGGAGCGAAUCCUAAAAUAUAGGCCCCUAUUAUGAGUUGCAUUCGAUCUUCGCUAUUCGCUGGCUAUCGAAAAUCGAAUGUCAAAUUCGUAUUAUGAGCUAUGCAACCCUGUCGAAAUUUUCGUUGAGCAUCGAAAUGGCUGUCGAACAGAAUUUACCUAUCGACAGCGUAGCGUAGCGAAUGGAAAUUUGUGAAAAUGCCGAAAGUCCCCAGGAAAUCUGGUAUUACUAUAAAAAUGUAAUUUUGCUUGUUGCAUUUCAGCCUCGGUAUACUUGAAUUUUAUCCAUCUUUGGCAAAUGAAAUUCUCCAGGGCAUCGAGUACCUCAGAUAGUACC